rnacentral:pre_miRNA from 1 species
ACCCUGUAGUUUCGGGUUUGUGUUUACAUUGGGGUACAGAAGCUCGAUUCUACAGGUU